rnacentral:rRNA from 1 species
UCCGUAGGCGGUUUAGUAAGUCAGUGGUGAAAGCCCAUCGCUCAACGGUGGAACGGCCAUUGAUACUGCUAGACUUGAAUUAUUAGGAAGUAACUAGAAUAUGUAGUGUAGCGGUGAAAUGCUUAGAGAUUACAUGGAAUACCAAUUGCGAAGGCAGGUUACUACUAAUAUAUUGACGCUGAUGGACGAAAGCGUGGGUAGCGAACAGGAUUAGAUACCCUGGUAGUCC